rnacentral:sRNA from 1 species
UAACAUCGCUGAGAUUUGUGCCAUCUAC